rnacentral:rRNA from 1 species
GGCGAACGGGUGAGGAACACGUGAAGAAUCUGCCUUCAACUCUGGGAUAACUCCGGGAAACCGGGGCUAAUACCGGAUAUGAGCCUUGAUCGCAUGAUCGGGGCUGGAAAGUUUUUCGGUUGAAGAUGACUUCGCGGCCUAUCAGCUUGUUGGUGAGGUAAUGGCUCACCAAGGCGACGACGGGUAGCCGGCCUGAGAGGGCGACCGGCCACACUGGGACUGAGACACGGCCCAGACUCCUACGGGAGGCAGCAGUGGGGAAUAUUGGGCAAUGGAGGAAACUCUGACCCAGCGACGCCGCGUGAGGGAUGAAGGCCUUCGGGUUGUAAACCUCUUUCAGUAGGGAAGAAGCGAAAGUGACGGUACCUACAGAAGAAGCACCGGCUAACUAUGUGCCAGCAGCCGCGGUAAUACAUAGGGUGCAAGCGUUGUCCGGAAUUAUUGGGCGUAAAGAGCUCGUAGGUGGUUCGAUACGUCGGAUGUGAAAAUCAGGGGCUCAACCCCUGACCUGCAUCCGAUACGGUCGAGCUAGAGUUUGGUAGGGGAGACUGGAAUUCCUGGUGUAGCGGUGGAAUGCGCAGAUAUCAGGAGGAACACCGAUGGCGAAGGCAGGUCUCUGGGCCAAUACUGACACUGAGGAGCGAAAGCGUGGGGAGCGAACAGGAUU